UACGUAGGGUGCAAGCGUUGUCCGGAAUUAUUGGGCGUAAAGAGCUCGUAGGCGGCUUGUUGCGUCGGCUGUGAAAUCCCGGGGCUUAACUCCGGGCGUGCAGCCGAUACGGGCAGGCUAGAGUCCGGUAGGGGAGACUGGAAUUCCUGGUGUAGCGGUGAAAUGCGUAGAUAUCAGGAGGAACACCUGUGGUGUAGACAGCUUACUGGACCAUCACUGACGCUGAGACACGAAAGCGUGGGUAGCAAACAGG
rnacentral:rRNA from 1 species